rnacentral:lncRNA from 1 species
CUAGAAUCAUCUUGUCGAUAUCGAUAAAACAAAAACAAGCAUGCAAAAGAGAUAGAAUUUUUACUUUCAUCAAAAAAGAAGAAGUGGCAUGUUGAUGUUCUCCACAAGACUCCAAAGUAGAAGUCCUCUAAUGGUGAUCCAUAUGGAAGUUGGCUAAGGUCCUUUCUAAUUGGUGCGCUGUCGCAGCCUUAUCUUUUCAAAAACACUAUCGGCUUCGAACUCAUGGUACGAUCGCACCAAAGUGCAGUCACCUCCAAGCUUACCACC